CCUACGGGAGGCAGCAGUGAGGAAUAUUGGUCAAUGGACGCAAGUCUGAACCAGCCAUGCCGCGUGCAGGAAGACGGCUCUAUGAGUUGUAAACUGCUUUUGUACGAGGGUAAACGCAGAUACGCGUAUCUGUCUGAAAGUAUCGUACGAUUAAGGAUCGGCUAACUCCGUGCCAGCAGCCGCGGUAAUACGGAGGAUUCAAGCGUUAUCCGGAUUUAUUGGGUUGAAAGGGUGCGUAGGCGGUCGGAUAAGUUAGAGGUGAAAUCCCGAGGCUCAACUUCGGAAUUGCCUCUGAUACUGUUCGGCGAGAGAGUAGUUGCGGUAGGCGGAAUGUAUGGUGUAGCGGUGAAAUGCUUAGAGAUCAUACAGAACACCGAUUGCGAAGGCAGCUUACCAAGCUACUUCUGACGUUGAGGCACGAAAGCGUGGGGAGCAAACAGGAUUAGAUACCCUAGUAGUC
rnacentral:rRNA from 1 species